rnacentral:rRNA from 1 species
AUGGAACGCCGAUCUACUGUCACACGAAUGGACCUGGAGUUCAUGCUAAUUGAUGAAACGGCAGAGCCCAUGGCUCUGCCACUGACACUUCUGCGUCAUAUCACCGAUGAUUUCUCUGCUGAGCAUGAAAUUGGCAGAGGUGGGUUUGCGGUGGUUUAUAAGGGAAAGCUUGGGAAUAGGACUGUGGCAGUGAAGAGGAUGUCCAAUACGUUUGUAGAUGAAAGCGAGUUCCACCGAGAAGUUCAAUGUCUCAUGAUGGUUAAACACAAAAAUAUAGUACGGUUUCUGGGAUAUUAUGCUGAAACACAUUGGACUAUGGUAACCCAGGAGGGAAAAUUCGUUAUGGCAGAUGUAAACCAAAGAUUGCUCUGCUUCGAGUAUCUUCCUAAUGGGAGCCUUGAUAAGUAUAUCACUGAUGCAUCUUGUGGACUUCAGUGGAGAGACCGCUUCCAAAUUAUCACAGGAAUUUGUCAGGGGCUACAUUAUCUUCAUCAGAAUAGCUUUAUGCACUUAGAUCUAAAGCCCACAAACAUAUUGUUGGAUGAUAAUUUAGUACCAAAACUUGCUGAUUUCGGUCUAUCUAGAUGCUUUGUUGAAUCACAAAACUGGGCUAGUACUUCGAUACGUGGAACAGCUGGAUAUAUAGCACCCGAAUAUUAUAACUAUACUGAAGUCACACACCAGCUUUCGCCCCUUCUUGAUAUCUAUAGUCUUGGUAUAAUAAUAAUAGAGAUACUCACCGGCCGGAAGGGGAAUAUUGACGCUGAUGAGGUAGUUGAAAGUUGGAGUAACAUGGUGGAGAAAUCACAUAGCGACGUACAGAUGGAACAGGUACGCAUAUGUGCUGAGAUAGCAAUAGAGUGCAUCGACUUCAACCCGGCAAAGAGACCGGAUACACAACAUAUAAUCAGUAGACUCGAUCAGAUAAAAAUCAUGGACGGAUAUGUUAAAACUGGCAUGAUUACUUCACAUCAGGCCAAAGAUGCUCCAAAUGAACUGCAUCAAGAUACGACUGACGCACCAGGAGAGACAAGCUUUAAGGUGUUAAAGAUUGGCGUCGGUGCUAUCUCAAAACGGAACUUGAAGAAAAGAAAGAUUCGGGCGGCCAUGGAAAACAAUCCUCACCAUUCUGCUUGGCUUGAGGGGACGAGAGAGAUGGAGGAGGACCCAGUUACUGUUUCGCUCGGCCCCUCGGGCCCUCUCUUCCAGAAGCUCCGUUCUGUCAUUGCUUCGCAAGACAGUCGGCUGAAGAGGGUUAAGGUUGAGAUCUUGUUUCUCGGCCAAGGACUCAAGGGAUUGUGCAACGGAUUUAGCAAGGAUCUAUUUGAGGCGCCGCAGGAUAGCAUUACCAGGUGCUGGAUGAGGCAGGUCCGGGAUCUGUGCUAUGAUACAACAGACUACCUCGACCAGGUCAUGCACUUCAUCCAAUACUCCGGUACUGGUAGGGGUAAGAUCCGUAUUUUUUGGGGGAAACGUCUUGGAUCCAAGAUCUUUCGGGUUUCCCGUAGGCUCACCUGGGUUUCGUUGCCAAAAGUGAAAAGGUUGAAGCGAGGCCUCAUGAUUGCAAAAUUAUUAGCAUUGCUAGCUCGUGUCGAGGAUGCAGAUGAAAGACGCGAAAGAUUCAAGAUUUCUCCACCGGAAGCCAGCAAACAUGACUAUUCACAAGCCGCCAGAGCCGGUAUCAGCCACCCCAUGGCCCGACUUCCCAUCCAACUCCAUGUCGACAAGCUCAUCAAGCUGCUGGCCUUCGAGCACGACGACAAUUUGAUAGAAAAAGAACUCAAGGUGGUAAGUAUCUUUGGAUCUGCAAGUUCUGACAAGACAGCAGUUGCGAAGACCUUAUAUCACCGGUAUGGAGGGAAGUUCCAGUACCGGGCUUUUCUACGGGUGUCUCGAGAUCCAGAUAUGAGGAGGCUUCUCACCGACAUGCUCACACAAUUCAAGGCCCCACCAACCCAUACAGUUUCUGAUGUCCAAGGACUUAUUGAAAGUAUCACCAAACAUCUGCAAGGAAAAAGGUACUUAAUUAUAAUAGAUGAUCUAUGGUCCACGUCAGCCUGGGAUAUUAUUAUCCGAGCUCUUCCUGAUGGUGAUUAUUGCAGAAUAAUAACAACAACACAGGUUGAGAAUGUAGCACUGGCAUGCUGCAGUUACCAGUUAAAGCAUAUGUAUAAGAUUACUCCUCUUAAUGAUGAUCAAUCAGGAAAAUCUGAGGGUGGUUGUAUUACAUAUCCUAGUUCCGAAGGGAUGAAAGAAGCUCUAAACCUUGUGUAUGAUAAUCUUCCACCCCAUUUGAAGGCAUGCUUGUUAUAUAUGAAUAUGUAUCCAGAAGGAUACACGACCAAGAAGGAUGAAUUGGUGAAGCAGUGGGUUGCUGAAGAUUUUAUCGGCUCAGUACAAGGACAAGACAGAGAGAACACCGCGGGAUGUUAUUUUGAUGCUCUCGUCAGUAGUGGACUGGUCCAGUCCGUAGAUACCGAUCAUAAUGGUGAUGUGUUGUCAUGUACGCUUCACCACAUGGUGCUGGAUCUUAUCAGACAAAAAUCCAUGGAGGAAAACUUUGUCACUGUUGUGAACUAUUUUCAAACAAUUCUAGGACUUCCUGACAAGGUCCGUAGACUGUCUGUCCAGUUGGGAGGUGCAAAAGGUGCAAAUACUAUACCAGACAAUAUGAGAACAUCCCAAGUUAGAUCACUACUAUUUUCUGGAUUCUUCAAAGGUGUACCCUCCAUUGUAGAAUAUGGGCUUCUUCAAGUUUUGAUUCUUCAUAUUUGGUCUGAUCAAGACAAGACUUUUGACCUCACUUCAAUUGGUGAACUAUAUCGACUGAGAUAUCUGAAGAUUGUGUGUAAUAUCACUGUCAAGCUUCCAGGCAAGAUUCGAAGGCUGCGGCACUUGGGUACUCUGCAGGUAGAUGCAAGAUUAGCGGUUGUUCCAUCUGAUAUUAUUCAUCUGGAUAAGUUGCUGCACCUCCGCCUUCGGAGUGAGUCUAUUUUGCCUCAUGGGGUUGGCCAUAUGACAUCUCUUCGUACUCUGGGUUAUUUUGAUCUCAACAGUAACCCAAAGAUCAAUUUGAUGGAUCUGCACAAGCUGACAAAUCUGCAGAAUCUUCAGCUCACCUGUUCUACAGUACCACCAGCUAAAUGCCUUGAAAAGAAUAUGCAACUCCUGAGCUCAGUCCUUAACAAACUUAGCAUCCUGCAGUCUGUAACUCUUGUACCUGCUACAGGCUCCUCCAAUGUAAAUACUUUACAGGCUGAUAAUGAUACUGGUGCUUCAGGCAUGAUCAUUUCAUUUGAUGGCUUCAGCAGUGUGUCCCCUGCCCCAGCCCAUCUUCGGAGACUCGAGUUGUCGCGUCGUUGCUGCAUCUUCUCCAGACUCCCAAAAUGGCAUGGUGAACUUGCGCAACUCUGCGUUCUUAAGAUUGCAGUCAAGGAGCUAUCGAACGAAGAUACUGAUAUACUGAAAGGGUUACCUGCCCUCACUGUUCUGUCGUUGCAUGUCAUGACAACGUCUGCAGAAAUGAUUGUCUUUGGCAAGGGAGGGUUCUCAGUUCUCAUAUACUUCAAGUUCACGUGCACUGUGCCUUGGCUGAAAUUUGAAGAGAAUGCAAUGCCUAACCUCCAGAAGCUCAGGCUAGGUUUCAACGCAACAGCAGUGGAUAAACAAGGGAUCAUUAUUGAGCACUUGUCAUGCAUUAAAGAGAUAUCUGCAAUAGUUGGUUGUGUGAACGUUGGUGCAGGGUCUGCCUGCCAGAAAGCUAUUAUGAACGAUCCAAGAAAUCCUAAGGUGCAAUGGAUGGGCUCCAUUUAUGUUGGUGACGAAGGUACAGGACACCUGGUGACACAUGAAGCCCAGGAAUAUUACAGAGCUCAAGGUAAGGUUUCAGGGGGAGGUGAAAUCAUGGAUGAAACUGAUGGAAUUCAAGAUGAGAACAAUGAAGCCGCUAAUAAAAACAAUCCAAGAAAUCAAAUGGUGCAAUCGAUGGGUUCGAUUUAUUAUGGUCUCAAAGGUACAGAAAUGGUGACGAUAAGACCCAGAAACCAACCAGGGCAGUUGCUGAUGACUGUGCUGGGCAGGUUGCUGAGACCCAUUAUCCCCACACUUCUGGCCAGCAUAUUGUGCUACGUAUUGGGAUGGUUGCUCUCGAGCAUCAUCCGCUCGGUCCCUUUGAAGCAGCGUUCCAUGGCCACGCCCACUAGCUGGGAUGUUGGCACAGCUGGCUGGGUCAUUGUGCUGGGCUGGUUGCUUUCGCCCAUUAUCGCCUUUCUCUUGCCCAAGACCCUUUCCUGUCUGGGCUUCGACACAUCCAAGAAGCUCCUGGAACUGGAGAACUGCAUCAUCCCAGAACUGCAGCAGGCGAUGCGGGCAGUGGAUCAAGAGAGGAUGACGCAGAGAGUGGAGAAACUGAAACCUGAUGUAGCCACGCUGGACAAGAUGGCCGCCAUGCUGAGGCAUUCCCAGGAGGAAGCGGAAGACAUCUUUGAUGAUGCUAAGCAAAAGAUCGUCAGUGGUGACAUCGUCUAUGAUGCCGUGCAGACCUGCAGUGACUACUUCUACAGGAGUUCUCUGGGGAUUACAGGCAUCCUCCGGAGAGGAUCGUGUCAGUUACUGCAGUGGGCACAGAGCAUCUCCACCUUGUUUCAGUGGUUCCCACGCAUGCAUGCAUAUAUGUUCUUUACCAUAUGUUAUGAGACUGCAGCCUCAAAUUUCUCGGGGAGAUGGUUCUGUUGCUUGUGCAACUCCUUUGGCUUGUUCAUCAACUGUUGUAGGUCCAUGUUCUACUCGAUAGUUCAUGCGAUUGAGUUGGCCUGCUUGUAUCGAGACUGGUCCUAUGACGUGGUUGGCAUCAUAGGUUACCAGGAGAAUGCCACUGUGUUAAGUUUUUUCCUUACAGCAAUCUCAAAACAGAACUUGAAGAAAAGAAUAGAGAAGGUACAAAGCACCAUUAAUGAAGUUAAGAAGUCACAACUCUUGUGUGUAGUCAGCAAGAACACGCCGGAUGAUAUUGCCAACAGGAACAGGUGCAGAAUUAGAACUGCUAGCAAGCUUAAGGUAUUUGGUCGAGAGGUGUUGCGUGAUAAUAUCAUGGCAAAGCUCCGUGAGACACGACAUUGUGAUGCACCAAGCUCGAGUGCUUGUCCAUGUUAUUCUGUGGUUGGCAUAUAUGGUCUUGCGGGGUCAGGGAAGACUACCUUUGCACAAUAUACUCGAGAUUUCAUAGAAGGGUGUGAGGAGAAACUUUUUGACACCAUUAUGUGCAUUCAUCUUUCGGAAACUUUCAGCGUGGAUGAUAUAUUUCAUCAAAUGCUGAAGGAUAUUACCAAAGAUUGGCAUUCCAGUUUUUCGGAUCGUGGGGAGCUGGAAGAGAAGUUGAAGGAAUCGUUGAGUGACAAACGUUUCUUCUUGAUAUUGGAUGAUCUCUGGGUGAAGAACAAGAGCGACCUACAGCUGCAGGAACUACUCUCUCCGCUCAAUGUUGGGAAGAAAGGAAGCAAAAUCCUAGUGACGGCUCAAGCAAAAGAUGCAGCUAGAGCUCUGUGUGCUGAUGAACCUAUUAAAAUGCCUGAUUUGGAUGAGGACCAAUACUUUUCUAUGUUUAUGCAUUAUGCACUUGGUGGUACAAGUGUUGUUGAUGAAGAAUUCAUACGAGUUGGGAGGCUGAUUGCUGAAAAGCUACACCGAUCGCCUAUUGCAGCAGUAACAGUGGCAGAAAAGCUUGAGACAAAUGCAGAUAUCCAUUUCUGGAAAAACACUGCAAACAAUGACAUGCUGAAUGACACCAUGUAUGCUCUUUGGUGGAGCUAUCAACGGCUUGAUCCGGACAUCAGGCGCUGCUUUGAAUUCUGCAAUAUUUUUCCUCGAAGAUCCAAGCUGAGAAGGGGCGAAUUAGUUCGCCUGUGGAUAGCACAGGGGUUUGUAAAGACCAGUUCUGCAAACAUGGAAGCUGUAGCUGAGUGCUACCUUCAAGAGUUGGUGUCAUACUCAUUUCUGCAACCAGAAGGAACUAGUUCUGAAUCUUCUGAUACGGAUUGCUUUACAAUUCAUGGUCUGCUGUAUGAUUUAUUAGACAAGGUCUGUGGAAGUGACUACUACAGAAUCGAGAAUGCAAGGAGCCAGAGAGGAGAAAGCUGGAAAGGGGAUAUCCCUGAAGAUGUCCGCCAUCUUUUUGUUGAGAAUUGUGAUGGAAAAAUGAUUGAGAAGAUCCUUGGAUUGAAAAAAUUACGCACUCUCAUUAUUUAUAUUGUUGAAUGGGAUACACCAGUUGAGGAAAAAUUCAUCAACGGUAUAUGCAAGAGGCUUCUUAAGUUACGGGCAUUACACGUUGCUUUGAGACACGCAUAUGAUCCAAUCAAUGCACCCAAUAAGUUCUCCGUCCCAGAAUCUAUUAGUCAAUUAAAGCAUCUACGGUAUCUUGCUUUCAGGAUAAACCACCAAUGCACUGUUCUUCUACCAGGCGCUCUAAAUAAGCUUCAGCAUAUCCAGCAGCUAGAUUUUGGUUCUUGCAAUAUUUUGGGAUCUACCUCUCUUGAUCUUCUCAACUUGCAGCACAUAAUCUGCGGGGCCAUGAAAUUUCCUAACAUAGGCAAGCUGACUUCACUCCAAACGAUCCCAGGCUUCACAGCAAGUAAUGAACAAGGUUGUGAGUUAAAGCAGUUGAGGGAUCUUAACAAGCUUCAUGGAAGCCUGCGGAUUGUUGGACUUGAAAAUGUUAAAAGCAAGGAGGAAGCUCUUGAAGCCAAUCUAGCUGCCAAGGAAAGGCUCGCGGAACUUAAAUUGCACUGGGAAGGUGAUGAUGAUACAGGGUGCAGUCCAGAAGUUGAAGCAGAGGUACUUGAGGGCCUGUGCCCUCAUGUGGGGCUUAAAACACUUCACAUCUACAGCUACGAAGGUUCGAGGUGCCCAAAUUGGAUGGUGGGUAAGCAGAAUGUUGGCCUGCAAGAACUUCUAUUAUAUGGAUGGAAUCAACUUGGACCUGCUCCGGAAAUUGCGGUCUUCCCUUGUCUUCGUAUACUCUGUCUUUGCGACUCCAGCUGGGAGGCGUUACCAGAUGAUAUGGAGCACCUCAUGUUGCUCAAGGAACUGGAUAUCAUUAGAUGCGAGAACAUCCGAUCUCUUCCCACACUUCCCAGGUCUCUUGAGUGGUUUUAUCUUGCUUCCUGCAAUGUGGAAUUCAUGAGCUCUUGUAAAACAGUCGGACAUCCAAACUGGCAGAAGAUUCAGCACAUCCCCGUCAAGGGAGUUGAUAUCCCAACACCAACACCCUCAGAAGAAGAAGCUGACUCUGAUGGGAUAUUGGGAUUACAUCAGAAGGCUUUAGGCCUUGCAAUGCAGUCAGGCUGUUAA